rnacentral:rRNA from 1 species
GAUGAACGCUGGCGGCGUGCCUAAUACAUGCAAGUCGAGCGAACAGACGAGGAGCUUGCUCCUCUGACGUUAGCGGCGGACGGGUGAGUAACACGUGGAUAACCUACCUAUAAGACUGGGAUAACUUCGGGAAACCGGAGCUAAUACCGGAUAAUAUAUUGAACCGCAUGGUUCAAUAGUGUAAGACGGUUUUGCUGUCACUUAUAGAUGGAUCCGCGCCGCAUUAGCUAGUUGGUAAGGUAACGGCUUACCAAGGCGACGAUGCGUAGCCGACCUGAGAGGGUGAUCGGCCACACUGGAACUGAGACACGGUCCAGACUCCUACGGGAGGCAGCAGUAGGGAAUCUUCCGCAAUGGGCGAAAGCUUGACGGAGCAAAGCCGCGUGAGUGAUGAAGGUCUUCGGAUCGUAAAACUCUGUUAUUAGGGAAGAACAAAUGUGUAAGUAACUAUGCGCGGAUUGACGGUACCUAAUCAGAAAGCCACGGCUAACUACGUG